CUGAAGAAAAUUUCGCCCAAAUAUUUCGCCCAAAUAUUUCGCCCUAAAUGUCCCGCCUAAUUCUCUUAUUCCUGCUCCCACACCCUACUCCACGAUUAUCAGAUCCCUCAAACAACAAACUCAACCUACACUCCCAAAAAUCAACUACUCUUCACUAGAAACGUUCUUACAUAAAAGCUCAAAUUCUCGGAAUCCUCUCAAUUUCGUCUUUAAUCUGUUACCUAAAGCAAAUCCCCUCAAAUUUGUUCAAAAUCUGUAACAAUCCUCUCAUUCCUAUCAAUAUUUAAGGAUGGAAAUCUCGGGUUAAGGGUUCUUCACAAUUGCCCAAACAAAACCAUCUCAAGUUUCUAUAAAUUAGUGUUUUUUCUGGAGAAAUUCGUCUGAGUUGUGGGUUGUAGAGUUACAGCUCCUUUGGUUUGUCAGAUAGAUUCGCCCAAUUCACUCAAGAAAUUCUUGAAGGUCAUAUUUACUACUAGAUGUCAUUUCUGUGAGCGCUCUCGUCAUUUUUGUUACACGUGUAGCUCUUGGAUACAAACAGACGUGGAAUAGAUAUGAGCUACUCGUCAACAGGGCCCUGUAUGAAAAAAACUUUGGCUAGUGGGCUUGGCUCUGUUUAUUUUCUCCUAGAUGCUUCAGAACACCAAUUACUGAUGAUUCUUGUGGCAAUGGUGAAAAGCAGGCCUAGACAUGAGACUUUGACACUAUUGCCAAAGGCAAGGUUAGUAUAAUUGUAGAAGCUGAUCCUGAAGUCUUACGCGAUAAGCGUGUUUAACUUGCUGUCGAAGGAAGGUUAUGUGAUUAUGCAAUAUCUGUCAGAGAAGCUGCUUUGGAACUUGUUGGAAGCAUAUUGCAUCUCAUCCUGAUGUUGGUUUGCAAGGAUACCCCUCACCUUUCUCGCCGUCUCCUCCGAUUUCUCCCCUCCCUCUCUCCUCCAUGUAAAUUCUGGAAGCUCUAAUUGUCAGGCUUGAGAAGUUGAUGUUCAUCAACGUAAUUACCACACCGAAUUCGAGGUUUAUCUUCAAUAAUAGUGUUUGAUUCAAUCAUCAAUUCCCAAUGUUUCUAAGGAUUUCUGCAAGAAAAAGAGGGCGAAUAAGUCGCCAAAAUUGAAGCAGUGUAAGCUUGAUGCUCGCCUUGAAGAAUGGCUUCCGCAAGAUUCGCGAAUGAAAAAGCCAGAGGUGUAUGUGACUUCUUCAUUAAGGUCUAACAGGAAAGUAUCUGGUUUGGUGGACAAAGGUAACUUAAUACAAUCAUAGAUGAAGAUAAUGAAUCCAUAAUGUUGUUUUUAUUUCAUUUAUCAGUGGAAAGCUGCAAAAGAGGAGAAAGAGUAAUGUAAAACUCUGUUAGAAAUUCUUUAAAAGAAGAGACAACGAGAGAUUGAGGGAUGGCGCGCGCAGCAGAUUGCAAGUGGGGAGAUACGGAAGCUAUUGUGGCGACAAUGAAAGAAAACCAGAUUAACUCUCGGAGAGGGCCAAGCCUGUUUGGCAUGUUGGUAACGAAUAAGUCUUGGCAACAUUAUGCACAAUAGGAAAAUCACCAGCAAUAUGCUGUUCCCAGGUCGCCGUAUGCUGUAAUUUAAAAACAACGCCACCACCACCAACAUGUCGUCUUUCUUGAUUCAUGCUCCUCUUGAAGCUCAAAAAAUCAAAGCUGAUUGCGCUCGAGAGGCAACCAUAGCUGGAUUUAAAGCUGCAGUAAUGGCUUCUGUUGUUGCCAGUGCUACUGUGAUUAUUGAUGAUUCAAGUGGUAAUAGUAAAAUGUAGAUCAAGAGAUGAACAAGUUAUCUUGAAGCUAAGCUAGCAUAAAGAUAGGUUUACUUGGUAAUUAGUUUGUUCGUAGCCAGAAAGUUGUUUUUAUUUAGUUUUGGAUUAUCUUGUAGAAAAAAUGAUAAUGCUAGUUAGAAAGUUAUUUUUGUUUUAAAAUAUCGCUUUUAUUUCAGUUUGACUAAACUCUGCGAAUUAAUUUAAUGUAUAAAUGAUUUUUUAUCACUUUUUCUAAAUUUACUACGUUAUCGCUAAGUAUAUAUGAAUCAUAGCAUGACUUUUAUA